UUAAGCAUAUCAAUAAGCGGAGGAAAAGAAACUAACAAGGAUUCCCCCCUAGUAACUGCGAGUGMCGCGGUGCAAGAGCUCAAAUUUUGAAUCUGGCAGUCCUUGGCUGUCCGAGUUGUAAUCUAGAGAAGUGUUUUCCGCGCUGGACCGUGUAUAAGUCUCCUGGAAGGGAGCGUCAUAGAGGGUGAGAAUCCCGUCUUUGACACGGACUACCAGUGCUAUGUGAUGCGCUCUCGACGAGUCGAGUUGUUUGGGAAUGCAGCUCAAAAUGGGUGGUAAACUCCAUCUAAAGCUAAAUACAGGCGAGAGACCGAUAGCGAACAAGUACCGUGAGGGAAAGAUGAAAAGAACUUUGGAAAGAGAGUUAAACAGUACGUGAAAUUGCUGAAAGGGAAACGCUUGAUGUCAGUCACGUCGGCUGGGGAUCAACCUUGCUUCUCGCUGGGUGUACUUCCUGGUCGACGGGUCAGCAUCAGUUUUGGUCGCUGUACAAGGGCAAGAGGAACGUGGCACUCCUCGGAGUGUGUUAUAGCCUUUCGUCGUAUGCAGUGGUCAGGACUGAGGAGCUCAGCACGGCUUCUUGCUUUGUGCUUAGGGAUGCUGGCAUAAUGGCCUUAAGCGACCCGUCUUGAA
rnacentral:rRNA from 1 species